CCUCUUGGUAACAACUAGGCUCAUGCUCCUCUGCCAAAGCAACAUAAGCACCAACAAUAUUAGUCUCAAGCCUGAAUGAUGUGAUAUAGUUAUUAUAUCUCGCAGGUGGUCUAAUGACCCUCCUAAGAUGCCCUGAAUCAACUGGUAUCUCGACAUAUCAACUGUCCUCAUGAAGUGAAUGAGAAGUCUCCAGUCCAUGCUCAUCAUCUACCACUCUACUAUCAAGCUCCACAUCAUUGGACACAUCAUGCUCC
rnacentral:lncRNA from 1 species